UACGAAGGGGGCUAGCGUUGUUCGGAAUCACUGGGCGUAAAGCGCACGUAGGCGGAUGUGCCAGUCAGGGGUGAAAUCCCGGAGCUCAACUCCGGAACUGCCUCUGAUACAGCACGUCUUGAGUUCGAGAGAGGUGGGUGGAAUUCCUAGUGUAGAGGUGAAAUUCGUAGAUAUUAGGAAGAACACCGGUGGCGAAGGCGGCCCACUGGCUCGAUACUGACGCUGAGGCGCGACAGCGUGGGGAGCAAACAGG
rnacentral:rRNA from 1 species